UAGGAUUAAUUAGAGAUACAGCUGGAAAGGGCUGUGUGAAAAUAAAUUCUAUGUCUGAGUGUUUAAAAUUGCAUAGGUAAUAUCUUUUUAGGUAGUAGUAUCAACUUUGGGCUCAAACUCAGCAUUAAGGCCAUCAUGAAAACGAUGCCCACAUGGUUGGUAGAUUUUUUUUCCUCUGAAAAUGAGGUUUUGCAGCUAACGUGAACUUCUCUGGACUGUUAGGAAACCCUCCUCACUCUUGUCCUCAAUGCGCUGCCGCUGUAAUCACGGUACCAGCUGCUGCUGUGCUUUCCUUGAAGGCCUAGAGACGAACCACAGGUGCCUCCCGACGUUGGGAAAUCACAGGUUGUCUUUAUUAUACCACUGAUGAGGGCAAUGCAAUGGGAGACAACAGGGGGCUGUUUAAAUUCUGUAGCUAUUAAGAUCCCAAAUCAGAAAGCGUUUGAGCUCGCCUGUAGGGCACUUCUCUGUGACUGCGGCCUUCUCUUUUGGUGCUUGAGACCGAGCAUGUCUGAGCAGGGAACCUUAACUUGAGCACCAAAGAUUCACAUAAAGUUCAUGUUUCGUCGCUUCCUCUUCAGAUAACCUGUUAAUAAUGGCACAAAUUUACCAUCUUUGAUCCUUUUCCUGUAUUCUGUCAAAAGGAGAUUGAUUUGUGCUCCACAAUCCCACGGUAUUUUUGGUGGCCCGUAUGGGGACAACGGGGUGACUCCAAGAGCAUCAGUGCAACUUGAUACAAGCAAGCAAUUCCUGACUCCUUCACCCAGCUGACAGCUUACUACUGCCUGGAUGUUCACUGUGGACUCUACAGCAGUGGCCUUCUGUAAUCUACUUGUAGAAACAGAUAGUGACCAAUUUCAGUCUAUAGGGACAUCUCUACAACCAUCUUUUUCUGUCAGCUUGAAGAAGUUCAGAAGAUGAGCCCUUCACCCUUCAACAACCUUAAAGAUUUAAGGACCAAAAUUGUUAAGGGGAGAAAUGAGGGAUAGAAGCAGAAAAAUGUUCACCUUUAGGCCAGUAGGCUCACCUACAGCCUGCAUAGUUUUGAUAAGGAUCAAAUACAUGCUGGUUGCUACAUUCUUAAAGGGUUUCAUGACUGCCUGUACAUCUCACCAUUAGUUAAUAUUGAGCUGAAUGAUAAGUACCAGAGAAAUCUUGGGAAAGUAGUUUUAGGAGUAGAAAUUUAAAGAAAACAUUAAAAAAAAAUUUUUUUU